AAAAAUGUAGUGUGAGUAGAGUAAAAGUAUCUUGUAAAUAUUACUCAAAGUAUGAGUAACAAGCCUUUUUAAAAGAAUCAUGAGUAGUGUGUAUUACGCUGCUAAAAGUUGAUGCUUUUAAAUGUAAUUUGUGGAUGUGUGUGUGUGUAAAUGUAACAUUCUGUAGUGCAUUUAGUUAUUGCCCAGCAGGCACACAAUGUCAUAAGACGUUGAUAUUAGAUUAGAUAUAGGUUGUGAAGUCAGGUGACCAAAAUUCAAUGUCUAGCCAGCGUCUAAGGACAACAUUAUUUUGAUGUCCAAUAAUGACAUCAAAUGACGUUGAUAUUUGGUUGAUUUUAGGUUGUUUGAAAGUGACCAAAAUCCUAUUGACGUUAAAUACUGACAUUUAUUCAUCAGUUUUGGCAAUCAAAAUUCAACAUCUGAUAGAUGUCAAAGUGGUAAUGUCCACACAACGUCAAGCAGUAACAUCUUUAGAUGUUGAUAUUUAGUUG
ensembl:processed_transcript